rnacentral:tRNA from 1 species
UGAGGUAUAGUAUAAUGGUAAUACGUCAGAUUUUGGUUCUGAAAUUCAAGGUUCGAAUCCUUGUACCUCAA